rnacentral:rRNA from 1 species
UACGAAGGGGGCUAGCGUUGUUCGGAAUUACUGGGCGUAAAGCGCGCGCAGGCGGCUAUCCAAGUCAGUGGUGAAAGCCCGGAGCUCAACUCCGGAACUGCCAUUGAAACUGUUUAGCUGGAGUAUGAGAGAGGUGAGUGGAAUUCCCAGUGUAGAGGUGAAAUGCGCAGAUAUCGGGAAGAACACCCGUGGCGAAGGCGGCUCUCUGGGACGGUACUGACGCUGAGACGCGAAAGCGUGGGGAGCGAACAGG